CUAAUCUUAAUUCAACGAUACAUAUAUACAUAUUUGCACAUAUAAACCAAUUUACACAUAUAAACCAAUUUACUAAUAUGAAAUUAAAGAAAGUUAAGUAUGAGUGAUAACAUACCAAUAUCAAGGUUGUAAAUAGGGAAAUGGAACUCAACACUCCGUCUCUAACACCCUCGUAUCAUUUGCACCACCAAAGCACCGCAGCAAGCUUUGCGUCCCCUCAUCUCUCUCCUUUUUCUCUCUCUCUCCUUUGUUCUCUCCCUUCUCUCUCCUCGUUGAAACCCUAGAAUUUUUGUAUAGAACACGAGUGAAAUUGUUGAGUACAAGUGAAAUCAUUGAGCAACAAAUUGAGGCAAUGAAUUGAGCAAAUGAUUUUGAACGAAUUGAAUCAAACAAACCCAGCAAACCCAAUGAAUUGAGCGAAUUUUUUGUCUCGAGUACCUUUUCUGUAAUGAAUUUUUUGGGGAAGAUUCCUUGUAUCAUGACCUAUUUGCGGGUAAUCAUCUACUUGACGAGAGCUACACACCCAGCAAGAUCUCUAUUCAAGCUGGUGAUUGCUUCCAUAACUUGAAGGGAACAUAUGAAGCGAAGAGGAAAGAAUUGUUACAUAUUGACUCGCAAUGUAUGUAUGAGAAAAGGCUGAGUAGAUGAUAUCCUAAAUCAUGUGAUUGAAGAUACAUCACCUUCAAACCCUACUAAAACAAGAAGGAAAAUAAAACACAGAAAGAAAGCGUGAGGAAUGGCAUGAGCGCAUAUGGAAUGAUUACUUCUCAAGCAACCGAUGUACAGUGCACAACAAUUUCGCCGAAGGUUCCGAAUGAGAAAAGAAUUAUUCUUUCGCAUUGUCAAUGCUCUUGAAAAUCAUUUCGAAUAUUUACAAGAAAGAUUUGAUGCUAUUGGUAGGAAAUCUUUGUCCCCCACUUCAAAAAUAUGUUGUUGCCAUUCGGUUAUUGGCUUAUAGAGUGGCAGGUGGUGCCGUAGAUGAAUACGUGUGAAUUGGUGGAUGUACGACGCUACAAUGCUUGAAAAAUUUUUGUAAGUGUGUGAUUGAGGUUUUUUAACCUUAUUACUUGAGAAGGCCAACAGUCGAUGACACCCGACGCCUUCUUCAAAUCGAGGAAUCCCAUGAAUUCCCUGGUAUGCUUGGUAGUAUCGAUUGUAUACAUUGGCAAUGGAAUAAAUGUCUCAUGACAUGGCAAGGUCAAUACUCCGGAGGUCAUCAAGGUGUACCAACGAUGAUAUUAAAAUCUAUUACUUCUUAUGAUUUAUGGAUUUGAGACGCAUAUUUUGGUGUUGUAGGAUCUAACAAUGAAAUUAAUGUCUUGGAUCCAUCCCCGAUAUUUGAUGAGUUAGUUGCUUGAAGGUCAAUGUCCUGAAAUCCAGUACACGGUAAAUGGAAGCACGUACAAUAUCGGAUACUAUCUAAUAGAUGGCAUCUAGCCUGAAUUAUAUGCUUUCGUCAAAACAGCAAACAUGUUAUCUGAAAAAAAGGAAACUAUUUGCUCAACAUCAAGAAGGUGCACAGAAGGAUAUAGAACGAGCUUUUGUGGUGCUCCAAAAGAGAUUUGCGAUUGUUUGCAACCCCGUACUUUUAUGGAAAAAGGGAAGUUGGUGAUAUCAUGAAAGCAUGUAUCAUAUUACAUAAUAUAGUUAUUCAGGAUGAAAGAGAUGAUACCGAAUUGACCACUAGCGUUAACUAUACAAUAGCAAGGAAUCAAAGGGAAAGUCCACAAAUUCAUAUUGAUCUAAGUAAAAAUUAUUAUGUAACCGGAGCAGAUACUUUUAAAAUCAUACGCGAAUUCGCAACCGAGCCCAAUAUCACCAAAUGCAGCACGGUUUGGUGGAACACAAGUGGCCGAGUUUUGGAGGAAACGCUAAUUAAAUUUCGUGUGUAAUUUUCAAUUUCUUGUGGUUGUACUUCUUUUAUAUUUUAGCAAUUAUGUAUGCAACUAAUUAUGUUUAUGCAUGCCUUUAAAUUAUGUCGUUAUUUAUAAUGUACUCAAUUUGUGUCUCAUAAUUUAUAUAAAUUCAAAGUAAGCUUAAAAUCUUAAAUAAAUAAUUACAUAAAUUGUAAUUUUUAUGAUGUAAUAGUCGAUAAAUAUUCGAACGUUUUAGAAAAAAAAAAAAAAAUAUAUAAAAUAAUAUGUUAAACUUUUAAUAGAGAGACUGGAGAAAGUUUGAGGGAUAAAGAGUAAAACUUGAAUGAGUUUGGAGUUAGUUUGAAGAAUAAAAAGUAGGUAAUAAUUAGUAGAAAGUUGAUGCGACAUAAUCUCGAUUUGAGUUUGAGGGAUAAACCCUUUGGGGGUGUUUGGUAAAUGGCUUUUUGCCUGGCUUUUGGCUUUUAUGAGCUUUCUAGUUUGGUCAAACAGCCAAAAAACAUGUUUGGUUUGUGGCUUUUUCGUUGGCUUUUAAGCCGACUUUUCAGCCAAAAGCCAAAAGCUACUUGGAGUAGCUUUUUCUCCUUGGUUGUUGGUUGUUUAAUAAUAAGUUUACCAAUAUACCCUUAUGGUAACCUAAAAAGUAAAAAUCAAAUGCCAUUCCAAGUUCCUAAUUGUAACACCCCAAAAUUUCUCUGAAAUUUUCGCGCGUUAAUUAUUAUUAUUUGAGUGUAAAAUUAUAUUUUACUAAUAU